AACGGUCUAUACCUGCGGUACCUGCGGAAGGAUCAUUACUGAGUUAGGGUCUUCGUGGCCCGAACCUCCAACCCUUUGUUUACCAAACUCUUGUUGCUUCGGCGGGCCCGUCUUUAGACUGCCGGGGGUACUGUUAAACGUCCCCUGGCCCGUGCCCGCCGGUGGCCAACCUUUUAACAAACUCUUGAAUUGAAUCGUGGUCAAACGUCUAAGAAUAAUCAAUAAAAGCAAAAACUUUCA
rnacentral:misc_RNA from 1 species